GUUGCUCCGCAGGCAAAGUUGAUUUUGACGCAACUGAAGAAUCUUGAAGGUCAUUCAAAUCGUAUGAAAGAGGCUUAUUACCCUGACUGGGAUGAAGUUGCCUUGGGGGAAAAAUACUAGAUGUUAUCACAAAGCUCAUAGAUCGCGGGCUCACGUCUUUUUGGGACAUUUGAGAACAAAUAUAACACCUGUGUAAAGUGAGCCCUUUGAAUGAAUUUAUGCUAAUCUGUUGAUGUUUAGAGUGAUCGAUCGCUAUCUAGGCAAAAGUGUCUCGUUCAGCUUUUGCUUGUCACGACGCUUGCCUGAAUAAAGGAUCAGAAGUUUUCAUUCAUCAAUUAUUUUUUAAUUUUAAAAUCACGUGUGUACAUCAUUUGUAAUAAAAUACCUGAUUGAAUUUUGAUUACUUUUA